CUCCAUGACAACAGAAGACACAGAAAUCCUCCUCAUCAAAAACAUGACUCUGAUCUGCGUCUUCAUCUGGACUCUCCUCUGCUGCUGCUUCACAGAGUCCAGAGGACAGGCCACAGUGACUCAGUCUGGAGCAGUGAGCUCUGCUCUGGGAGGUUCUGUCACCAUCAGCUGUAAGACCAGUCGCAAUAUUAAUGGAAACUACUUUUCAUGGUACCAACAGAAGGAUGGAGGAGUUCCUAAAAUGCUCAUUUACUACACCAGCACUCGAGCAUCAGGGAUUCCAGAUCGUUUUACAGGCAGAGGAUCAAACUCUGACUUCAGUCUGAUCAUCAGUGGAGUCCAGACAGAAGAUGCUGCAGUUUAUUACUGUAUGGGUGAAUUCUACAUCAACAGUCAGUAUUC